GCUGGGAUGGCCGAGUCGUUAAGGCGAGUGAUUUGAAUUCGCACUUCCCUCAAAAUUCAACAUCACUUGGUGUUUCACCGCGUAGGUUCAAAUCCUGCUCCCAGCG